rnacentral:rRNA from 1 species
GACGAACGCUGGCGGCGUGCCUAAUACAUGCAAGUUGAGCGAUGAAGAUUGGUGCUUGCACCUAUUUGAAUAGCAGCGAACGGGUGAGUAACGCGUGGGGAAUCUGCCUUUGAGCGUGGGACAACAUUUGGAAACGAAUGCUAAUACCGCAUAACAACUUUAAACAUAAGUUUUAAGUUUGAAAGAUGCAAUUGCUUUACUCAAAGAUGAUCCCGCGUUGUAUUAGCUAGGUGGGUAGGGAAAGGCUCACCAAGGCAAUGAAACAUAGCCGACCUGAGAGGGUGAUCGGCCACACUGGAACUGAGACACGGUCCAGACUCCUACGGGAGGCAGCAGUAGGGAAUCUUCGGCAAUGGGCGAAAGCCUGACGGAGCAACGCCGCGUGAGUGAAGAAGGUCUUCGGAUCGUAAAACUCUGUUAUUAGGGAAGAACAUAGGUGGAAGUAACAAUGCACUUCUGGACGGUACCUAAUCAGAAAGCCACGGCUAACUACGUG